CUCACAGCCACCUCCUCACAG
rnacentral:miRNA from 1 species